rnacentral:tRNA from 1 species
GCGGGCGUAGCUUAAUGGUAAAGCCCCAGCCUUCCAAGCUGGCCAUGUCGGUUCGAUUCCGAUCGCCCGCU